rnacentral:rRNA from 1 species
GACGAACGCUGGCGGCGUGCUUAACACAUGCAAGUCGAACGGAAAGGCCCUGCUUUUGUGGGGUGCUCGAGUGGCGAACGGGUGAGUAACACGUGAGUAACCUGCCCUUGACUUUGGGAUAACUUCAGGAAACUGGGGCUAAUACCGGAUAGGAGCUCCUGCUGCAUGGUGGGGGUUGGAAAGUUUCGGCGGUUGGGGAUGGACUCGCGGCUUAUCAGCUUGUUGGUGGGGUAGUGGCUUACCAAGGCUUUGACGGGUAGCCGGCCUGAGAGGGUGACCGGCCACAUUGGGACUGAGAUACGGCCCAGACUCCUACGGGAGGCAGCAGUGGGGAAUAUUGCACAAUGGGCGGAAGCCUGAUGCAGCAACGCCGCGUGCGGGAUGACGGCCUUCGGGUUGUAAACCGCUUUCGCCUGUGACGAAGCGUGAGUGACGGUAAUGGGUAAAGAAGCACCGGCUAACUACGUGCCAGCAGCCGCGGUGAUACGUAGGGUGCGAGCGUUGUCCGGAUUUAUUGGGCGUAAAGGGCUCGUAGGUGGUUGAUCGCGUCGGAAGUGUAAUCUUGGGGCUUAACCCUGAGCGUGCUUUCGAUACGGGUUGACUUGAGGAAGGUAGGGGAGAAUGAAAUUCCUGGUGGAGCGGUGGAAUGCGCAGAUAUCAGGAGGAACACCAGUGGCGAAGGCGGUUCUCUGGGCCUUUCCUGACGCUGAGGAGCGAAAGCGUGGGGAGCGAACAGGCUUAGAUACCCUGGUAGUCCACGCUGUAAACGGUGGGUACUAGGUGUGGGGUCCAUUCCACGGGUUCCGUGCCGUAGCUAACGCUUUAAGUACCCCGCCUGGGGAGUACGGCCGCAAGGCUAAAACUCAAAGGAAUUGACGGGGCCCCGCACAAGCGGCGGAGCAUGCGGAUUAAUUCGAUGCAACGCGUAGAACCUUACCUGGGUUUGACAUGGAUCGGGAGCGCUCAGAGAUGGGUGUGCCUCUUUUGGGGUCGGUUCACAGGUGGUGCAUGGCUGUCGUCAGCUCGUGUCGUGAGAUGUUGGGUUAAGUCCCGCAACGAGCGCAACCCUUGUUCACUGUUGCCAGCACGUUAUGGUGGGGACUCAGUGGAGACCGCCGGGGUCAACUCGGAGGAAGGUGGGGAUGACGUCAAGUCAUCAUGCCCCUUAUGUCCAGGGCUUCACGCAUGCUACAAUGGCUGGUACAGAGAGUGGCGAGCCUGUGAGGGUGAGCGAAUCUCGGAAAGCCGGUCUCAGUUCGGAUUGGGGUCUGCAACUCGACCUCAUGAAGUCGGAGUCGCUAGUAAUCGCAGAUCAGCAACGCUGCGGUGAAUACGUUCCCGGG